AUUGAACGCUGGCGGCAGGCUUAACACAUGCAAGUCGAGCGGAGAUGAGGUGCUUGCACCUUAUCUUAGCGGCGGACGGGUGAGUAAUGCUUAGGAAUCUGCCUAUUAGUGGGGGACAACAUUCCGAAAGGAAUGCUAAUACCGCAUACGUCCUACGGGAGAAAGCAGGGGAUCUUCGGACCUUGCGCUAAUAGAUGAGCCUAAGUCGGAUUAGCUAGUUGGUGGGGUAAAGGCCUACCAAGGCGACGAUCUGUAGCGGGUCUGAGAGGAUGCUCCGCCACACUGGGACUGAGACACGGCCCAGACUACUACGGGAGGCAGCAGUGGGGAAUAUUGGACAAUGGGGGGAACCCUGAUCCAGCCAUGCCGCGUGUGUGAAGAAGGCCUUAUGGUUGUAAAGCACUUUAAGCGAGGAGGAGGCUACUGAGACUAAUACUCUUGGAUAGUGGACGUUACUCGCAGAAUAAGCACCGGCUAACUCUGUGCCAGCCGCCGCGGUAAGAC
rnacentral:rRNA from 1 species